CCUGUCAAGAUAAGAAUUGGAAGAUAGUCAAAACCCCUACUCGCCAGAACCCAACUCAUCCACCAUGGGAAUUUUUUCUUGGUUCCGUGGAGGCAGCAACAAUAACAAAAAGGAAAAUGCUCCGGUGGAAAAAUCUGGCCCGAAAUCCGAAUCCGUGUCCUCCGAGGUACCGGGCAUGAACGGAGCGAUGGAGGUCCGACGAGCGGCCCUUUCGGCUGAUUUAUCGGUUUUCGAAUUCGGGUCAGUUGCCGCUUCGGCCGACAAGGUUACAGUGAGUGGGUACUGCCCCGUUUCGGACGAGCUAGAGCCCUGCCGUUGGGAGAUCCUGCCUGCGAGUGGCUCGGAUGCACCCCAAUUCCGUGUCGUCUUUUGAGUCGGUUGAUUUGAGAGAGAAUUAUAAUCGAGAGAUUGUACGCUAGCGUUUUUUUUCUUCUAAUCCCUUAAAAAAUGCGGCGAACUUGUUGGAUCGGAAUUAAUGUUAAACGUUCUUGGAGACUUUGCAUCAAUAAUUGCUUUUUUGUUUAUGCACAAUUGCUCAAGGCAUGAUAUAUAGUAGUAUCUCUGUGCACUAUUGUGCUAUAGCAGAUAGGCACGAACAUCAAUGUAUCAUCUUAUGAAAGCAAACACGUAAAUGUGCGAAGGCGUCCUUUGUGAUCGUGUGCUACAAAUUUGAAUGUAUAGAAUCAGGUUGCUGUAUAUUGAAAGUUAGGUUCUAUUUUCUCUAUCUCUAAUAGGUUGGGGCCCUAACUCUUUUUUUAUUAUACAUUAAUGUUUUUCAAUCUUUAGGGAGGCAUUGUAUGAUUGUUUUUGCAUGUACUUCUGCCUUCAAAUUGCUCGGCGGUAUUUGAAAGUGCUCUCUCUCUCAUAUAUCUGUAGUUCUGUUGCUUCUGUUCCUGAGCAGGAUCCUGUUAUUAGUAGGACUUGUAUGAGUGUAUGCAUGCCUGUAUAAAUUGGGUGUGUUAUUAAGGUGUACAGUUCAAGAGAAUAAUUUUUUAUACAUGCCAUUGCUGUUGCCUCUAGUUAUCGGCUUUACAUGCCAGAAAUACGGCCGUGAAAGAGUCUGACUGCAGUCAUUUCACGAGCUCAGAUAUUUCUGGUUAAUUUAAGGCUUUGAGCAUUAAGAGCAUAUUUGAUGAACAUUAUUGGACAUCACUAGAUAGUACACAAUAGACAAAAAUUGUAACUUUCUGUUCUAUCUAAAUAUUAUUUAUUACUGGGAAAUUAACUUUACCAAAUAUUCCAUAGGUGUAUAGAAGGCUUUUUUGGCACUUGGGAUAUGAUAUCUGAUGCUCGGACUAUUCGAAAUGGUCGGAGUAAUCGUGUCGUGUCUAUGGUUAUGGGAUAUGUAUCGGAGCCUCCAAAUUUCAACCGGACACUUUGCCAUUUUUGCUUGCUCUUCUUUUUUCUUUCUUUUCGUGUUCUUUUCUGUUUCUAUUCUCUAUAAACCUAGUGUCGCCUUCGAGAGAAUUGAGAAAGUCGAUGGCACUAGGUUUUCCCUUCCUCUUCUUCUUUCUUUUUUAUUUCCCUCCAUAUAGUGUUACUUAGUGCUCUACUUCAAGUCCUUCAUUUUCUAUUUUAUGUAACAUUUAGUAAUUACCNAGUAGGACUUGUAUGAGUGUAUGCAUGCCUGUAUAAAUUGGGUGUGUUAUUAAGGUGUACAGUUCAAGAGAAUAAUUUUUUAUACAUGCCAUUGCUGUUGCCUCUAGUUAUCGGCUUUACAUGCCAGAAAUACGGCCGUGAAAGAGUCUGACUGCAGUCAUUUCACGAGCUCAGAUAUUUCUGGUUAAUUUAAGGCUUUGAGCAUUAAGAGCAUAUUUGAUGAACAUUAUUGGACAUCACUAGAUAGUACACAAUAGACAAAAAUUGUAACUUCCUGUUCUAUCUUAAUAUUAUUUAUUACUGGCUGGCAAAUUAACUUUACCAAAUAUUCCAUAGGUGUAUAGAAGGCUUUUUUUGGCAUUUGGGAUAUGAUAUUUGAUGCUCGGACUAUUCGAAAUGGUCGGAGUACUUGUGUUGUGUCUAUGGUUAUGGGAUAUGUGUCGGAGCCUCCAAGUUUCGACUGGACACUUUGCCAUUUUUGCUUGCUCUUCUUUUUUCUUUCUUUUCGUGUUCUUUUCUGUUUCUAUUCUAUAUAAACCUAGUGUCGCC
rnacentral:lncRNA from 1 species